UCCUAAGAUAGAAACGGAGGAUGCCUCAUU
rnacentral:piRNA from 1 species